UACGUAGGGUGCAAGCGUUGUCCGGAAUUACUGGGCGUAAAGGGCGAGUAGGCGGCCUUCUAAGUCAGACGUGAAAUCCCCCGGCUUAACCUGGGAACUGCGUCUGAUACUGGGAGGCUAGAGUAUGGGAGAGGGAUGUAGAAUUCCAGGUGUAGCGGUGAAAUGCGUAGAUAUCUGGAGGAAUACCGGUGGCGAAGGCGGCAUCCUGGACCAUUACUGACGCUGAAUCGCGAAAGCUAGGGGAGCAAACGGG
rnacentral:rRNA from 1 species